ACCCGCCCGCCCGCCAGCGCAGUCCCGAGGAUCCCCCCGCGCCCUUGCGGCCCCGGAGCCUCCGGGACGCAGGGAACAGCAGCCCCGGCCGGUUCAAACGCAGGUGCUGGAGCCGCCGGGCUGAAGUUACCGGGAGCGGGCGGCUCCGCGGGUGUGUCCAGAGACACAACUGUGUGUCCUGAGAAGGGCAGCGGAGCCGGUGAAGGGGCUGGAGAACAAGUCCGAUGAGGAGCGGCUGAGGGAGCUGGGGGUGUUUAAUCCCCCUCAGGGGUGACCUUAUUGCUCUCUACGACUCCCUGACUGGAGGAUGUAGCCAGGUGGGGGUCGGUCUCUUGUCCCAGGCAACCAGCGACAGGACGAGAGGGCACAGUCUCAAGCUGUGCCACGGAAGGUUGAGGUUGGACGUCGGGUGAUCAGACAUUGAAAUGGGCUGCCCGGAGAGGUGGUGGACUCACGGUCCCUGAAAGUGUUUAAGGAAAGACUGGACUUGGCACUCAGAGCCAUGGUCUAAUUGUCAAGGUGGUUUUCGGUCAUAGGUUGGACUUGAUGAUUUUGGAGGUCUUCCAACCUCAUUGAUUCUGUGAGUCGCUGGGAUCUCUGGGAUCUCUUACCCCUCCCACCAACCCCUGCUGCAGCAAAGGCCAAGGUCUGCCUGGGACCAAAGGUCAGGGAAGGCAUCUCAGCCCCGCGCCACUUGCCCUUCUCCUAACCGAGUCAUUUAUUCCUUCACACAGACUUCCAUGGACUAAAUAAAUAAAUAUGGAAGCUUCCCUGCAGCUGCAGAGAUCCUCUUGGCUUCAGUUGCAUCCCUGUGGAGGGAAAGGCCCUUCCCUGUGCAGGUGAAUGGAUUCGGCCCUGGAGCACAGCAGGUACUUGACUUGGAGCAGGAGUGAUGAGGGGCUGGGGUGACAAAGGACACCUCACAGCCCUCAGUGCCUCAUGGGGCUCAUGAUCCAACAGACCUUCACUGAGACAGAACAGUCCGCGAUGGGAGAGAGAGAUCUGGUUGAAGUCAAUCACAGAGAGUGCACCUCUGUUCGCAUGGAAAAUGGAAUUUCAGCUAAAUCAUACAGAGAGUGUCUGGUGUGCAGCACCUGCUCAAGAACUAACUUUGGUGAUACUCUCUUGUGCUUCACCUGUAUCAAAGAAAGAUGCUGGGGAUAGAUUGAUCCCACUGAAGCAGUAAGAAAUCAUGGUACUGACUGAUAUGAGGACGACCUGUCCUUCACUUCUUACACUUGUUGAUUCUGGAGGCCUGAAGCCAGAAAAAAUGAUCAGCAGCAUCACGUGUGGUGGGAAGAUUUACCUAAAAAGCAGCAUUUCAGUACUUGGAUGAAGAGCAAUCAGGCUGCAAAAACUAGGAGAUUAUUUUCUGAGAAAGCUGUACACGUGGUGGGCUAAAGCAAUGCUCAGAAGGGCUUAAAAAUGUUCUGUUGAAACAAUGAGCAUGAAAAUGGGACCAGCAGGAAGUUUGUGUUUGUCUAAUGAGCUGGGUUUAUUUAGCCCAUCCAAGGACUACUGAACACACUGGGGACAUUGUACAGAGAAAGACAGGAGAACUGGGAAAUGUCCAAGCAUUUAAGAGAUACAUACUCUGGCAGAAUACUAAUAGUUGUAAAAUGAACAUUUAACAUAUGGAUAAAGUAAUGACUGGUUCAAGAGUUCCCAUUAGAGAUAUAAUAGGAAAUGUAAAUUAAUAUGAGAGCAAAUACUACGCUAUAGAAGUGAAUAAAUGUACCAAAGGAGAGCUGGAGGCUUGAUCCAAACUGCUGGAUCAUCCAACCAAACCAGCAUUAAGGCAGCUAUGUGGAGCAUUUCCACAGCUAUCAACCAUCCUGACCAAAAUAAAGGCAGUGGCACUGCAGAUCCUGCCCACAGCAGAGCAAAGCUGAGCGGAUCCAAGGCCCUGGAGGAGGGACGUGGUGGCCACAGGGCGAGCAGCGGCUCCAUGGGGAUCAGCUGUGGUGUGGGAUACAUGGACACCAGGAGAGAGGGAGGAGAGAGCUGGUCUGAGACACAGAUCUUAAGGAAAGGAGCAAAAUGUCAGUUGCUGGAGAAACGGAGAGGAUGGGCAUGGAAGUCAGUGGUUCCAGGUCUUGAUUGUCUUAAAAACAUUGGAAAAAUUCUGUGCCAAAGAGGAAAGAGCACUUGGAGGUGGCAAACUGGUGCCACCUUCACAACCACAACACGGUGCAGGGUCAGGGCCAGCAUUUGUGGACGACAAACAGCAAAAUGGAGCAAUUUUGUGAGAAAAGCCUUGAUAUUUAAUAAGAAUAACAUUUAUAUGAAAAUGACAGCAAGCAGCUCUUCUCAUUAUUUACCUGUUAGUUGUUAUUUACACUGUUUAUUCAAUUAUUCCUUGAAUACAGUGAAAAAGGUAAAGAUGAAAUUAAGAUGUCUUAAAAGCGUUUAAAUAUUUUCAAUUUUCAUAUUAUAAAUAUAAAUUUUAUUGAUAAUUUAAAUGCAAACUUUAAUUGCAUUUUAAUUUUAAAUGCAAAUCUAUAUUUAGAUUAUUUCCUCAAUUUCUAUCUCACUAAAAAAAAAGACCAAAAACAUUAUGGACAGUUUUACAUGUUAAGAGAAACUUCCUUCCUCGUGCAUGUGAUGGUACGUUUUUAAAUGUAUAAUUUCUGUAGCCAUUAAACUAAAUUGAUUUAUUACAACAAUAACAGAGCAACAUAAUAAUUUAAAACAGGUUUAAAAAUUAUUUAUAUUUAUAAAAAUGUAUUUAAACUGCCAUUAUUCUCUCAAACCUUGCCCAUGUAGCAAACUGUGUGCUAUGGACAGUCCUGUUGAUUUUGAUAAGCCCUGUGCCAUGCGCGUUUCCACUGCAGGAAAUUAAAAAGCCAACCUACAGCCCCUGUACAGGAACCAUGGAGUCUCUCCUCCUGUCCAUUCCUAUCACAUGCUGAAACUGCUCCCAGUUCUUCUCCCAAGGCUUCCACAGUAUCUUUGGUGAGAUGUCACCUUUUAUUAGCAGGCUCGCUCUCGGAUACUCUAAUGCACAUUGAAAACAUAAAAUGCACAUCAUCCAUCUUUCAUGUGACAGCUGCAUCCCACCUUCUGAACUUCCAAGCUCCUGGCACACCUGGGUCAAGGCUCUGCUAAUAAAAUGAUGCUGAGUGACAGGGGGAGAGGGAGUCAACUGACUACAAGCAUUUGAUAAACUGUUACCUGCAAUUUCUUGUGUUUGUUGCCUCGGGCAAACGCACUAAAGAGGAAACAAGUCACUGCAAGCCCCAUUUGUCCAACUGCGUGAGUGGAGAGGAGGAUGAAAGGCAAUAUACUCCUGUUACUUACAGCUUUAUGAUUUUAAUCCAUUUUGUCAGGGAAAUACCUUUUGGUCCAUCAAGUAAUGUGAUAAACUAUUCAAACAAAGGGAAGAAUCAAUGUUUCUGUACUGCUGCUAUGUUUGUUGAUAUGAUUCUAUGAUUCUGCUAUUUCAUGAGUUAUCAGAUGCACAGUGUUUCAGUUUAACCACUAAGGUUAUACUUGUAUCUAGAUACAGUCAUUUUUUUAUAGUAAAUAAAUAAUAUAUUAAACACAUAAAACAAAUAAUUUGAUACAAUUAUUCAAAUUAUCUGAUGGAUACACAUUAUUGACUCAUGAUAAUUGAGACUUAUUUUCUAAUAUUUUGAUAUAGACUUGUCUUAUUUUUGUUAGAGCAUCGCAAACUUUUAGAAGAGAAAUCUGUAGAUCCUUUGAAGUCAGACCUAUUUUAAGUCAACUAUUUUGGAAAACACUGUUCCAGCAUAGUGGUAUCCUAAUACAGUUCAGUCUGGUGAUGUAAAUGAGUGGAGCAUCUUCCCAAAACUUAAUUACAGUUCAGAAGUAUUACAUGUUAUUAUGUACCUGUUGUGAGGCUGAUGCUUGUUUUAAUUACUGCAGUGGUUACUGUGGUCAAAAUCCAUGUUUGCAAAGGCAAAGGAGAGAGAGCUUUUCAGAGUUUCCAGAAGAACCCACAGACCUGAAUUUUUCUGUGCGGCAGAAGACACAGAAAAAAAGAUAGGAAUGUUCAACUUAGGCUCUUCUCUGGGAUCAGCAUCAUAUGGAAGAGAUAAAAAUAGCAGCUAAAAAAACCAGCAGUUGAUCCAGACUGAAACUCUCUUCUGCUCCUGGAACUAUUCCUGGCUCAGAGAGGAAAAGAGGGAGAAAAGACAAGUGUCCCACCUUGGAGAUGACUCAGUGGAGAAGGGAGUGGAAUGCCACACUGGCUCCCUGGUCCCAGGUGCCCAGGAGUUUGCCACACCUCAGGUGUUUAUAGAUGUGAUUGUGGGGUUCACACAAAGCCUUUCAGGCCUCUGCCAGUGGCUGCUGGAAACAGAAGCCAUCCCUUUUAGUCUCAGUUGUUCUGUAUGAGAAUGAACUAAGAUGUAUUCCACAAAGCACUUGAUAGAGUGGAAAACUUUUAAGUAGGAAAUUACUUCUCGGUAUGGCACUUGAAAAUGUGGAAUUCCUGCUCAGCUUACAGUGUCCUCGGCAAAAAUUAGAGAUUGAGAGCACAAACAGAAUGAAACAGUCAAAGUGACCUCAAUACAGAGGAACAGAGUUAAAAAAAAAAAAAAGAAAAAAGCAGGACUUAACCCUGUGCUCAAGCUUGAAGUACAUAAAAGUAACAGUGACAUACUCGGUGACCGAUGGGAACUUGACCUCAGUGGGCUCUGCACAACCUUCUCAGCAGCAGCAGAGUCACAUCAUCAAGUGGCUUUGCAAGGACAGAAGAUAAUUAAAUGUGAUCACAUCAAGCAGAGCAAAGCAUGGUAUAGUAGCAAAAAUGCAGUAGUAGUAAAAAUAUUUCCUAAUUAUAAAAUUCCUUAAAUGAUUGCUUCUUUUCUUUCCAGGGAAACAAAAACCUGGCAUUGGAAAGGUUCAAGCGGGCUGACCAUAAAAAGAGGCAAACAGAUGCAUUUUCUUGUUUUGGUUCUUCCCUCAUCCCUGCACACAUCUACAUUUAUGCUUGGAUUUGUAUUUUGAGACUGCAAGGGGCAGAAGGCGAGAGAUUUAUUCCAACACGCUGUGCCAAAUCCCCAGUACAGUGCUGAGCAACUGGGACUAGUCAGGCUGGGAAUUAAUUGAUUGCUAAAAACAAUAAAAGAUGGGAGUACUUUUACAAGACAUCUAACAUGCUGACUGUAUAAAAUUAGGCUGGAAUGACAUUAAUAAAGAAAGCUUUCAAGUGUCAAGAAUGAAAGAAGGUCAGACAUUCUGCACUGAGGAAAUCUAGAUCUCACCAGAGGGGACAUCCACUGUCGUUAUUCUGUUUUGUCUUCACAACAACUUUGUAGCCAGACAGGAAAAAAAAAAAA